AGUUUGGCCUCGGAUCAGGCGGGGAUACCCGCUG
rnacentral:rRNA from 1 species